rnacentral:misc_RNA from 1 species
GAUGAAGAACGCAGCGAAAUGCGAUAAGUAAUGUGAAUUGCAGAAUUCAGUGAAUCAUCGAAUCUUUGAACGCACAUUGCGCCCGGUGGUAUUCUGCCGGGCAUGCCUGUUCGAGCGUCAUUUCAACCAUCAAGCCCCAGCGCUUGUGUUGGGGGCCUGCGGCUGCCGCAGCCCCCUAAAAGCAGUGGCGGGCUCGCUAUCACACCGAGUGCAGUAGUUCAUCUUCUCUCCGGUCUUGUGAGGCGGGUUCCGGCCGUGAAACACCCCACUACAUUCAAGGUUGACCUCGGAUCAGGUAGGAAUACCCGCUGAACUUAAGCAUAUCAAUAAGCGGAGGA